GUAACAGGAAGCAGCUUGCUGCUUUGCUGACGAGUGGCGGACGGGUGAGUAAUGUCUGGGAAACUGCCUGAUGGAGGGGGAUAACUACUGGAAACGGUGGCUAAUACCGCAUAACGUCGCAAGACCAAAGAGGGGGACCUUCGGGCCUCUUGCCAUCAGAUGUGCCCAGAUGGGAUUAGCUUGUUGGUGAGGUAACGGCUCACCAAGGCGACGAUCCCUAGCUGGUCUGAGAGGAUGACCAGCCACACUGGAACUGAGACACGGUCCAGACUCCUACGGGAGGCAGCAGUGGGGAAUAUUGCACAAUGGGCGCAAGCCUGAUGCAGCCAUGCCGCGUGUAUGAAGAAGGCCUUCGGGUUGUAAAGUACUU
rnacentral:rRNA from 2 species